rfam:Virgibacillus massiliensis genome assembly, contig: 000002
UUCUUAUCCAGAGAGGUGGAGGGACUGGCCCUUUGAAGCCUCGGCAGCAGACUUUUAGUACUGUGCCAAUUCCAGAUGCAGCAUAGCAUAAAGAUAAGAA